GAUGAACGCUGGCGGCGUGCCUAAUACAUGCAAGUCGAGCGAACGGACGAGAAGCUUGCUUCUCUGAUGUUAGCGGCGGACGGGUGAGUAACACGUGGAUAACCUACCUAUAAGACUGGGAUAACUUCGGGAAACCGUAGCUAAUACCGGAUAAUAUUUUGAACCGCAUGGUUCAAAAGUGAAAGACGGUCUUGCUGUCACUUAUAGAUGGAUCCGCGCUGCAUUAGCUAGUUGGUAAGGUAACGGCUUACCAAGGCAACGAUGCAUAGCCGACCUGAGAGGGUGAUCGGCCACACGGGAACUGAGACACGGGCCAGACUCCUACGGGAGGCAGCAGUAGGGAAUCUUCCGCAAUGGGCGAAAGCCUGACGGAGCAACGCCGCGUGAGUGAUGAAGGUCUUCGGAUCGUAAAACUCUGUUAUUAGGGAAGAACAUAUGUGUAAGUAACUGUGCACAUCUUGACGGUACCUAAUCAGAAAGCCACGGCUAACUACGU
rnacentral:rRNA from 1 species